UACCAGCACCCCGAGUGGUCGGGACGUUUAUUGGGCCUAAAGCAUCCGUAGCCGGUUCUACAAGUCUUCCGUUAAAUCCAACUGCUUAACAGGUGGGCUGCGGAAGAUACUAUAGAGCUAGGAGGCGGGAGAGGCAAGCGGUACUCGAUGGGUAGGGGUAAAAUCCGUUGAUCCAUUGAAGACCACCAGUGGCGAAGGCGGCUUGCCAGAACGCGCUCGACGGUGAGGAUGAAAGCUGGGGAGCAA
rnacentral:rRNA from 1 species